AAUCCUUUAACGAGGAACUAUUGGAGGGCAAGUCUGGUGCCAGCAGCCGCGGUAAUUCCAGCUCCAAUAGCGUAUAUUGAAGUUGUUGCGUCUAAAAAGCUCGUAGUUUGAAAACUUGCCUUGGCUUACAACAGACGUCUAAGGGCGUCACCGUUUGUCGAGAGCAAAUAUGGGUGACUGUUCUUGCCUUCUUCACUGAUUGGCUCGUAAAAGUCAUCGAAGAUCACUUUGAUUAAAUUAGGGUGCUCAAAGCAAGUGUGCUACUUGAAUAUGAAUGCAUGGAAUGAUGGAAUAUGUUGUUGUUCUAUUUGUUGGUUUUUUGAAUGACGAAAUGAUUGAAAGGAACUGUUGGGGGCAUUCGUAUUGUUGUGAGAGAGGUGAAAUUCUUAGACCAUAGCAAGACGAACUACUGCGAAAGCAUUUGCCAAGAAUGUUUUCAUUGAUCAAGAACGAAAGUUAGAGGUUCGAAGGCGAUCAGAUACCGCCCUAGUUCUAACCAUAAACUAUGCCGACUAGCAAUUUGCUUUGUAUUUUUAUGACUAAGUGAGAGGCCACGGGAAACCAAAGUAGGGUUAUGGGGGAAGUAUGGUUGCAAAGCUGAAACUUAAAGGAAUUGACGGAAGGGCACCACCAGGAGUGGAGCCUGCGGCUUAAUUUGACCCAACACGGGAAAACUUACCUGGUCCUGACACUAGAAGGAUUGACAGAUUGAUAGCUCUUUCUUGAUUUGGUGGAUGGUGGUGCAUGGCCGUUCUUAGUUGGUGGAGUGAUUUGUCUGGUUAAUUCCGAUAACGAACGAGACUCUAGCCUAUUAAAUAAUAUGCGGAAUCAAUUUCUCCCGCGUUAUUUCUUAAUGGGAUCAAGCGUGUUUAACGCUUUGAAACAGAGCAAUAACAGGUCUGUGAUGCCCUUAGAUGUUCGGGGCUGCACGCGCGCUACAUUGAAGAACAAAGUGAGCCCUCUGGCUUUUAACAAAGCCAGAAAUCUCUUAAUGUUCUUCUUAAUGGGGAUAGGGGAUUGCAAUUGUGCCCCUUGAACGAGGAAUUCCCAGUAAGUGCUAGUCAUUAGCUAGUACUGAUUACGUCCCUGCCCUUUGUACACACCGCCCGUCGCUACUACCGAUUGAAUAGUUUAGUGAGAUCAUCUGAGUGUUUGUAUGUGCAUUCUGUGCUUGUAUGGUGUACGAAGAAGAUCAAACUUGAUUAUUUAGAGGAAGUAAAAGUC
rnacentral:rRNA from 1 species